UGGGGAAUAUUGCACAAUGGGGGAAACCCUGAUGCAGCGACGCCGCGUGAAGGAAGAAGUAUUUCGGUAUGUAAACUUCUAUCAGCAGGGAAGAAAAUGACGGUACCUGACUAAGAAGCCCCGGCUAACUACGUGCCAGCAGCCGCGGUAAUACGUAGGGGGCAAGCGUUAUCCGGAUUUACUGGGUGUAAAGGGAGCGUAGGCGGUUCAGCAAGUCAGAAGUGAAAGCCCGGGGCUCAACUCCGGGACUGCUUUUGAAACUGUUGAACUAGAUUGCAGGAGAGGUAAGUGGAAUUCCUAGUGUAGCGGUGAAAUGCGUAGAUAUUAGGAGGAACACCAGUGGCGAAGGCGGCUUACUGGACUGUAAAUGACGCUGAGGCUCGAAAGCGUGGGGAGCAAACAGG
rnacentral:rRNA from 1 species